rnacentral:rRNA from 1 species
CCCUUAGAUGUUCUGGGCCACACGCGUGCUACACUGAGUAAAUCAAUGGGUAAGGGAACACGAAAGUGCAACCUAAUCUUGAAAUUUGCUCGUGAUGGGGAUCGACGGUUGCAAUUUUCCGUCGUGAACGAGGAAUACCUUGUAGGCGCGUGUCAUCAUCACGCGCCGAAUACGUCCCUGCCCUUUGUACACACCGCCCGUCGCUCCUACCGAUUGAGUGAUCCGGUGAGGCUCUGGGACCUGGACGGAAAGAGCGUUUCGCUUGUUCUGUUUGGGAAACUUGGUCGAACCUUAUCAUUUAGAGGAAGGAGAAGUCGUAACA